AAUUAGUGGCAGACGGGUGAGUAAUGCAUAGGAAUCUACCUAGUAGUAUAGGAUAGCCACUAGAAAUGGUGGGUAAUACUGUAUAAUCCCUGCGGGGGAAAGAUUUAUCGCUACAUGAUGAGCCUAUGUUAGAUUAGCUAGUUGGUGGGGUAAUGGCCUACCAAGGCAGUGAUCUAUAGCUGGUCUGAGAGGAUGAUCAGCCACACUGGAACUGAGACACGGUCCAGACUCCUACGGGAGGCAGCAGUGGGGAAUAUUGGACAAUGGGCGCAAGCCUGAUCCA
rnacentral:rRNA from 1 species